rnacentral:rRNA from 1 species
AAAGCCUGAUGGAGCAACGCCGCGUGCAGGACGAAGGCCUUCGGGUUGUAAACUGCUUUUAUAAGUGAGGAAUAUGACGGUAACUUAUGAAUAAGGAUCGGCUAACUACGUGCCAGCAGCCGCGGUCAUACGUAGGAUCCGAGCGUUAUCCGGAGUGACUGGGCGUAAAGAGUUGCGUAGGCGGUUUGUUAAGCGAAUAGUGAAAUCUGGUGGCUCAACCAUACAGACUAUUAUUCGAACUGGCAAACUCGAGAGUAGCAGAGGUAACUGGAAUUUCUAGUGUAGGAGUGAAAUCCGUAGAUAUUAGAAGGAACACCGAUGGCGUAGGCAGGUUACUGGGCUAUUUCUGACGCUAAGGCACGAAAGCGUGGGGAGCGAACCGGAUUAGAUACCCGGGUAGUCCACGCCGUAAACGAUGGAUACUAGCUGUUGGAGGUAUCGACCCCUUCAGUAGCGAAGCUAACGCGUUAAGUAUCCCGCCUGUGGAGUACGGCCGCAAGGCUAAAACAUAAAGGAAUUGACGGGGACCCGCACAAGCGGUGGAGGAUGUUCUUUAAUUCGAAGUUAAGCGAAGAACCUUACCAGGGCUUGACAUCCCUAGAACUUUUUCGAAAGAAAAAGGUGCCUUCGGGAGCUAGGUGACAGAUCCUGCAUGGCCGUCGUCAGCUCGUGUCGUGAGAUGUUUGGUUAAGUCCAUCAACGAGCGCAACCCUUGUCGUCAGUUGUAUUUUUCUGGCGAGACUGCCCCGGUAACGGGGAGGAAGGAGGGGAUGAUGUCUGGUCAGUAUUGGUCUUACGCCCUGGGCUAGAAACGUCCUACAAUGGUCGGUACAAUGGGCAGCCAACCCGUGAGGGGGAGCAAAUCCCAUCAAAGCCGGUCUCAGUUCGGAUUGCAGGCUGAAACUCGCCUGCAUGAAGUCGGAAUCGCUAGUAAUCGCAGAUCAGCACGUUGCGGUGAAUACGUUCCCGGGUCUUGUACACACCGCCCGUCAAACCAUGAAAGUCAGGAGCACCCGACGUCCGGAUUUAUUUCGGCCUAAGGUGAGCUUGGUGAUUGGGGUUAAGUCGUAACAAGGUAUCCGUACCGGAAGGUGCGGAUG